AUUCUGUAUACUUGCUAAGUGAAAAGAAGCAGGCUACUAAAGAACAUGCCAGUAAUCUUAAUUUAAUAAGCAUUUUUUUAGCAUUGACUAUACCUCAGGACCUGUGCCGGGCACAUAAGUGGUCAGGAGAGUCUCAGGCUGCAAAUGUGACUGAGGCGAGAAGCAGUGACAGCCUCUCAUGCUGCAGCUAUUCCAUAACCUGCGCACUUCUGGAAAGAUGGUACUUACAGUCCUUCCUCCAGCUGCCUUCUGCUAGUAAGAUUGACCCUGCUCCUUAUACAGUAGAGCCCGAAUAACUUUACAAACUUCAGAAGGAAAUAGAAGGGCAAUUG